AUACGGAGGGUGCGAGCGUUAAUCGGAAUUACUGGGCGUAAAGCGUGCGUAGGCGGUUGAUUUAGUCAGAUGUGAAAGCCCCGGGCUCAACCUGGGAACUGCAUUUGAAACUGGUCAACUGGAGUAUGGUAGAGGGGGGUAGAAUUUCUGGUGUAGCGGUGAAAUGCGUAGAUAUCAGAAGGAAUACCGAUGGCGAAGGCAGCCCCCUGGACCAAUACUGACGCUGAGGUACGAAAGCGUGGGGAGCAAACAGGAUUAGAUACCCCGGUAGUCC
rnacentral:rRNA from 1 species